AUGACAAUUUUUUAAUAAAUUAGUUUGAAACACUUUUUUGCUAACAAGUGCCACCAUUUUGAAAUUUCUAUGUCUGAAUCGAGAAUUUUUGAGCACUCAGGUUUCGUAAUCACACUGUCUCUAGAAAGAUUUCACACCAGCUACCUUCAGCGAACUGAUCCUGAAACCACCGACUGCACCUUCCAUUUGCAGAACACGUGAAGAUUGUGUUGCCGAGUGCCUGUGACCUUCAGAGCUUGUGUGUUUAAUUCGGCUCCACUUAUCCCAAGGUUUAGAGACUUAAUCGCCUUACAGAGCAUCUCCACUGCUUUCCUGUUUCACCUCCCUGUGUCUCUGCCUCUCCUUUUUCUCGCUCUUUUUGUCCACGAUGCCAGUUUACACCAUGGUCAUGUUUUAGAGCUUUUACAACAAAAACCUUGACCUUUUCACAAGCUCUUUCAGUUCACACAGUCAAGAAGAUGGAACAACAAGCCGGUUCAGCCUGAUCCUGCAUCAGGCUGCAGGAAAAAUCUGCCAAAAUGUUUCCCUUUAUACCCAGUCAUUUUUUGGGGCAUAAACAUAUAAAUCUUGAUGCAGCAUUUUGGAUAAGCUCGGAUGUACUUAAUAAAUAAUUAAUUGCGAUACAAGAUUGGAGAAGAACCACAUGGCUGGGGAAAAACGUCUCCCAAACAAUUUGUUUAUAUAGUGUGGAAUUUCACUGUAAAAAAGGGGGUCAAACAACAUGAAAAAUUAUGUAGAAAAAUCAGAAAACAAUCAUGUUCCAGGCAUUUAAAGUGUAUUUAAACAUACAUAAAGCAUGCUUUUUGCAAGUCGGUCACAUGUCAGGCAUUUUUUUAAUCCUAAUAAAUCGUGAGAAUAAAAGUUGCAUGUUUAUAGAGUCAACUUGCAUCAAUUUAGUUUCCAAUGAGGUCCAAAUGUCUUUAUUAUUAUUAUUAUUAUUAUUAUUAUUACAAAUAACUUGUGAAACAAACAGGUUGGGAGAGCAGACAAAUUGUUGUAUUAUCCAUCAUGCUACAUCUAGAAAAUUAGGGCAAAUACACAGAAUAAUUUAAUCGUGAUCACGAGAAAACAAGAAAGAAAGGAAUAUUAUAAUGCAUAACAUCUGAGGACUUUGUUAUUCAGGUCCUUAGUUUUUCUUGAAGUGAAUUUUAAAUGCAAGGCAAGUUUCUACAAGUGAGCAGUUCCGGUAUGUGUCGCUAGGGGGUGCGUUUUCUGCGAUGCAAAAAAAAGUCCAACGUUCUCUGUACAGUAGGGAAAACACGCUGGAGAAGGAAAGGAGGAGAGGAACGAGGGAAGAAACACAGAGACGGAGAGACACAGAGAGGCACUUGCGCUGUGGAGGAAACCGCUCACGGCGGAAACCAGGACAUCAUGAACCUCGGUGCAAAAACCACGCCGUGAUCCUCCAGUAUACCUCCAUAUAUAUUUCCCCCGCUCGUCUUGAAUCCUAAUCGGCUCGGGGAUUUGGAGAGCGCGCACCUGCCCGGUCCGCUCGUGUUCUGUCCGCGGUGUCACGAUGCGCACACCGGCCCUGACGCUUCUCCUCCUCGCCGCCUGCUGCUGGUGCUGCUGCAGCGGCUCACCUCCUGCAGCUCCUCCCGCCGCAGACGCGUCGUUACAUUUCGGCUCUGUACCUGCAGGAGUUUAUGAAACCGUGGCGUAUUACGAACCGGGGCCGAUCGGCCUGCUGUUCAACAUGAUGCGCGCCUUCCUGCACGUGGUCCAGCCGAACCCGUUUCCUCAAGAUCUCGUCAUCCGAGUGGCAAAGGACAAGUUCGGAGCCAUCAAGUCUGACUACCAGAAGCCAGAGAACAUUGUUCUGACACUGCAGGUGAUUUACUAUGAGCUGGGCUUUGUGGUGUGUGCGGUCGUGGGGAUUCUCUUCAUCGUGCUCGUGCCCCUGGUCGGACUGCUCUUCUGCAUGUGUCGCUGCUGCGAUAACUGCGGAGGAGAGAUGCACCAGAGACAAAAGAAAAAUGCAGACUGCCAGAGAGGACUGCUCACCACGCUCCUGCUUACCACCACCUUUAUUAUCACCGCUGGGGUCCUGUGUGCAUAUGCAGCCAAUCAGAACCUGAGUUCUCAGUUAAAGACCAUGAAGAGGCUCGUCAACAGUAAUAUUCGAGACUUGUACACCUUUGCCAAUAACACACCAACGCAAAUCGAUCACCUGAUAUCUCAAUAUGGAACCGCUAAGAACCAAGUGCUCUGUGAUCUGGACAAUGUAGGUCAGUUGUUGGGUGGAAGGAUACAUGAAGAGCUGGGAAAAGUUGUGCUGCCUGCCCUGGAUGAGGCACAGAACAUGGCUGGAGUGAUUAAGGACACUAAAGAAGCUCUAGAGAAUGUGACCGUGACGUUGGCGGUUCUUCAAGAGGGUACGGUGCAGCUGGAAUCCAACCUGAGCCGAGUGCGAAUGGACAUCUCGAAUGCCCUGGACGACCCCGCGUGCGCCGAUUCGCUGUCACCCAUAGUUCAUAUCUGCGUCAACAUCCUCAGCUCGCUCAGCCAACUGGAGAUCAGCGCUAACUACUCAGCGCUGCCUGGUGUGAGUGAGCAGUUGGCCAAAGUGAACGACGUUUUGAAGACUGACCUCGCCCAGAUAGUUCACCAGGGGUUCUUAGCCUUCAAUGACACCCCAAACAUGGUGACAGACCAGACCAGAAAUGUGGCUGAAGGAGUCCGAGGUUUGUUGGACGGCAUUGGGAACAACAUCACCAGAUUUUCGAAGCUGUUUCCGGUGCAGACUACUGUAAACAACGUGACCAAUAUCAUCAGCCACACACACUCUCAAAUCGAGGAUCUUUACCCGGAGAUCGACAAAAUGGACUUCUACAGGUGGAUCAGCUGUAUCACACUGUGCUGCAUGGUGGCGCUUAUCGUUGUCUUCAACUUCCUGGGUCUUCUGUGUGGAAUCCUGGGAUUUGACAGACAUGCCUCUCCGACUAGCCGUGGCUGUGUGUCGAACACAGGAGGAAACCUGCUGAUGGCUGGUGUGGGCUUCAGCUUCAUGUUCUCCUGGGUUCUCAUGGCAGUGGUGACAGCGACGUUUGUGCUAGGGGGGAAUGUCGAGAAGCUGGUCUGUGAACCUUUCCACUCCAGAGAGCUGUUCAAGGUGUUGGACUGUCCAAAUCUGGUGAACCCUUCAUGGAAGCACUUCAUCCCUGGCUACCUUUUUAACAAUCCCGAAAUGGAUCUCACCGUGGAAAACAUCUACAGUAACUGUAAGGAGAACCGUGGGAUUUAUUCUGCCCUCCAUCUGGACAAAGUGUUCAACAUCUCAGCCUUGUUCAGCCCCAGCUUGUACACUAAGGACGUGUCUAAGAAGUUUGACAGCCUGAAGGUGGACCUGAAGACGAUCGUCCUGUUGAACACAGACGGCAAACACAACCUCAUCAACUUCACUGAGGCCGGCAUUAAGGACAUCGACUUUGCAGCGUAUAUGGAGGAGCUCAAUAAAGGAGUGACCCGUGUUGACUUGCUGACAUUCGCCAGUGACCUGGACGCUAAAGCUGACCAACUGAAUAAUGGACCUGUACAGACUUCUAUCAAGGGCCACGCCAACACGCUGCGUCAGAUCUACGCCAAGCAGGUCGUCCCUCUUCAGCAGUCCAUGAAAUAUGUUACUGCAAGGAACACUCUGAACCAGAGCAUCAGGUUUCUGGAGAGGACCGCCACUGAUCUAUCAAACAAAAUAUCAGAAAUACUUCAAGCGGUUGAAACGGCACAGCAUCUCAUCACUCACAACGCAACAUUUACUGUCAAUCAGGAAAGUGAGAAAUACAAGCAGUCCCUGAUUGGCUACUUCGAACAGUAUAUCAACUGGAUCAAGACAUCACUGAUGAUGGAAGUGGCCACGUGCAAACCUGUUAGUAACAUCGUAGACACUGCAGAGAUUCUGGCCUGUGGCUUCUUAUUUGAUUCAAUGAACACGUUCUGGUUCGGUUUGGGCUGCUCUGCUCUCUUCCUGCUUCCCAGCAUCAUCCUGUCAGUAAGGCUGGCAAAGUUCUACCGCCGUAUGGACACCGAGGACGUCUACGACGAUAUGGAAAUUGGUAAUAAUGGUUAUUAUAAUGAACAUGUACAAGGUAUCCAAAACCCUGUAAUUGCAAGCCUCCCUGCCUAUGACACUAUGACUCGAUUCCCACGAGCUUCGGCACCCCCUCGCCAUGGCGACUGGUGACACAGAGGAGGGACUUUUGUAUUUUCAAAUCCUCAGUACUCCACAAAGUGCUGCUGUAAACUGACUAAAACUCUAAACUACCCACCUGAUGAAUAGCAGCCUCAGUUUAGAGUUGGGGAUGGGAUCCGAAGAGGACGCCCAGACACAACAACCAUAACCUGGGCUUCGUCUUCACUUUCCACUCUAAACCGAGUUUAUUAGGAACUACAACACUGGAACCUUUAUGAACUUUACAUCGGAUGGAUUUUUUUUCCUUCGGCAAACAUCACAUCAGACCGUUACAGCAAUCAUGCAGUCAGGGACAUAAACAUAGAACAUUCAGCCAGUAUAUACAGUAGAUACACUGCUCCUUGUUUACAGUCAUCGUGCAGUCAGGGUCUUUGUGCAACUUCAACAUUCUGUGUUUAUUUUAAAUCUCCUGGACUUUUCCAGCUUGUCAAAGCGAACAAGAUUGGAGGAGUUUGUUGUUGUUUUUUUUGUUGUAUUUUUGUAAAAGGGAGAAAUUAACUGUAGCACAUACUGCUGAUUAAAGGGACCAUGCCAUUUUUGAGCCAA